rnacentral:rRNA from 1 species
UACAGAGGUCUCAACCGUUGUUCGGAUUCAUUGGGCGUAAAGGGUGCGUAGGCGGCGGGGCAAGUCAGGUGUGAAAUCUCGGGGCUCAACCCCGAAACUGCACUUGAUACUGCCUUGCUCGAGUACUGGAGAGGAGACUGGAAUUUACGGUGUAGCGGUGAAAUGCGUAGAGAUCGUAAGGAAGACCAGUGGCGAAGGCGAGUUUCUGAACGGUAACUGACGCUGAGGCACGAAGGCCAGGGGAGCAAACGGG